GACGAACGCUGGCGGCAUGCCUAAUACAUGCAAGUCGAGCGAACAGAUGAAGUGCUUGCACUUCUGACGUUAGCGGCGAACGGGUGAGUAACACGUAAGGAAUCUACCUAUAAGCGGGGGAUAACAUUCGGAAACGGGUGCUAAUACCGCAUAAUAUCUUCUUCCGCAUGGAAGAAGAUUGAAAGACGGCUCUGCUGUCACUUAUAGAUGACCUUGCGGUGCAUUAGUUAGUUGGUGGGGUAAUGGCCUACCAAGACGAUGAUGCAUAGCCGACCUGAGAGGGUGAUCGGCCACAUUGGGACUGAGACACGGCCCAAACUCCUACGGGAGGCAGCAGUAGGGAAUCUUCCGCAAUGGGCGAAAGCCUGACGGAGCAAUGCCGCGUGAGUGAAGAAGGCCUCCGGGUCGUAAAGCUCUGUUAUAAGAGAAGAACAAAUUGUAGAGUAACUGCUACAGUCUUGACGGUAUCUUAUCAGAAAGCCACGGCUAACUACGUGCCAGCAGCCGCGGUAA
rnacentral:rRNA from 1 species